UACGAAGGGGGCUAGCGUUGUUCGGAAUCACUGGGCGUAAAGCGCGUGUAGGCGGCUUGGCAAGUCGGGUGUGAAAUCCCGAGGCUCAACCUCGGAACUGCACUCGAAACUGCCUGGCUCGAGUCCCGGAGAGGGUGGCGGAAUUCCCGGUGUAGGGGUGAAAUCCGUAGAUAUCGGGAGGAACACCAGUGGCGAAGGCGGCCACCUGGACGGUGACUGACGCUGAGACGCGAAAGCGUGGGGAGCAAACAGG
rnacentral:rRNA from 1 species